GCAACUCUUCAGGGUGAAUCAGCAAGUGGUAUCAGGCAACACCUUAAUCCUUAAUCUUCAUUCGCGAAGCCUAGCCAUGAGUGAGUGAAUCAGGCAACAAUGAGUAAUAUGUACACCUCCCAGAGUAAUUGCAAUGGGGGGAAAAAAAAAUCAAGGAGUGAUAUAUUGGCAUAUUACAAAGGGACAGAGGCAUGUUACAAAGACUGAGCAGCAUAGGAACAAGAAGACUCAGUUGGGCAUGCUAAUGGGAAAUGGUUAUUGCAAGACAACUUUGCAAUUUUGUGAUGAGUGCAAAACUAGUGCAGAGUGGGCAGGUGGGAAAUAAAAGGGAAUCUCAACUCAAAUGGACAGGAAAGAAAGCAGGUCCUAGCAGCUGAAUAACCUGGACUGAGUUCACACCCAACUCUAGGAGUGUGAAGUACCUAAAUACCAUAGGAAAGGCCCUUGAGCUUGUCCUCACGAGUAAGGAAACCAAAAGCUCUCUCACGAAAGCAAUGAUCACACAUGCCCCACCACUCUGUGAUCUCAGCACAGUCACCUUAGAAAGCCUCACAAUCCCCUCAGUGCCAUUCCACACUCAGCACAGGAAGAGGGUGUGAUGAGCCAUGACAGCCACUGCCAGGUGUCACCUUCCACUUGGGCUCCAGCUGCAGGAGAGGGACAGACCCAGGAGAUGGAAAGAGAGAUCUCUGGCUACACACAGAGAAAAGGCAGAGAGUCAGGACUGAUUGCUCCUCAUCCCUCAGAUCUUCCCUUUGCAUCAUACAUGACACAAAGUCUCUCCUUGCCACCCUCUGUGGGUGGCUCUCUUGAGAGGGAAUGCUUUUAGACUCUGAAAACCUCCCAGAAAGAUGGACAGACAGCCUGCCAUACCAACAGUAAGAUCCUGCAGGGAACAGGACCAGCCAUGGACCUGACCCUACCUUCCUGCCAAAUUCCCAGGCAGAAGGUGGCCAAGACGAAAGCUCCCAUCUCAACUGUUUCUGCCUCUACUUGCUCCAGCUCUGGAGCUGGUCCCCUCUGCAAGCUGAGACACGUGCCUGGGCUCAGGCACCAGCGCCUCCCCAGAGAAAGCAUGUUGCUGCCGCAGUCCAUGAGCUUCUGUGCCACUGCCCAGGCCAAGGACUAAGAUAGAGCCCCUCAUUCAGCCCAGGAGGCUCAUUAAAAAUGAGAAAAUUAACCAUAUAUUGCUCUACGCAAGGAGAAACCUUUGUGAUUUUUGUCUUGCUCUGCCACAUUUUUCUUGUGCUCCUGCAGCCCCAACCCACAGUCCUGCAUCACCUGCAAUUCUGAGGCCUGGUAGGACCCAUGAAACAGCAGGGAG